AAUGAACGCUGGCGGCAGGCCUAACACAUGCAAGUCGAGCGAGAUCUUCGGAUCUAGCGGCGGACGGGUGAGUAACACGUGGGAACGUACCUUUUGCUACGGAAUAGCCUCGGGAAACUGGGAGUAAUACCGUAUGUGCCCUUCGGGGGAAAGAUUUAUCGGCAAAAGAUCGGCCCGCGUUGGAUUAGGUAGUUGGUGAGGUAAUGGCUCACCAAGCCGACGAUCCAUAGCUGGUUUGAGAGGAUGACCAGCCACACUGGGACUGAGACACGGCCCAGGCUCCUACGGGGGGCAGCAGUGGGGAAUCUUAGACAAUGGGCGCAAGCCUGAUCUAGCCAUGCCGCGUGAGCGAUGAAGGCCUUAGGGUUGUAAAGCUCUUUCGCUGGGGAAGAUAAUGACUGUACCCAGUAAAGAAGCCCCGGCUAACCCCGUGCCAGCCGCCGCAGUAACAC
rnacentral:rRNA from 1 species